rnacentral:rRNA from 1 species
GAUGAACGCUGGCGGCGUGCUUAACACAUGCAAGUCGAACGGUGAACACGGAGCUUGCUCUGUGGGAUCAGUGGCGAACGGGUGAGUAACACGUGAGCAACCUGCCCCUGACUCUGGGAUAAGCGCUGGAAACGGCGUCUAAUACUGGAUAUGUGACGUGACCGCAUGGUCUGCGUUUGGAAAGAUUGUUCGGUUGGGGAUGGGCUCGCGGCCUAUCAGCUUGUUGGUGAGGUAAUGGCUCACCAAGGCGUCGACGGGUAGCCGGCCUGAGAGGGUGACCGGCCACACUGGGACUGAGACACGGCCCAGACUCCUACGGGAGGCAGCAGUGGGGAAUAUUGCACAAUGGGCGCAAGCCUGAUGCAGCAACGCCGCGUGAGGGAUGACGGCCUUCGGGUUGUAAACCUCUUUUAGCAGGGAAGAAGCGAAAGUGACGGUACCUGCAGAAAAAGCGCCGGCUAACUACGUG